rnacentral:rRNA from 1 species
AACGCGAAGAACCUUACCAAAUCUUGACAUCCCGAUGACAGACUGUGUAAAGCAGUUUCUCUUCGGAGCAUCGGUGACAGGUGGUGCAUGGUUGUCGUCAGCUCGUGUCGUGAGAUGUUGGGUUAAGUCCCGCAACGAGCGCAACCCUUGUCUUUAGUAGCCAGCAUUUAGGAUGGGCACUCUAGAGAGACUGCCAGGGAUAACCUGGAGGAAGGUGGGGAUGACGUCAAAUCAUCAUGCCCCUUAUGAUUUGGGCUACACACGUGCUACAAUGGCGUAAACAAAGAGAAGCAAAGGAGUGAUCCGGAGCAAAUCUCAAAAAUAACGUCUCAGUUCGGAUUGUAGUCUGCAACUCGACUACAUGAAGCUGGAAUCGCUAGUAAUCGCGAAUCAGAAUGUCGCGGUGAAUACGUUCCCGGGUCUUGUACACACGC